rnacentral:piRNA from 1 species
UAACUUUGCAAAUGAGUGUCUCCCUAGU